AGCCCAGCGUGAAGGCCUUAUCACUCCGGUGUUAAGGCGGUGCCACGUUAAUGACUUGUCAUAUUGCUUUGUCGAAGCUUCAUGAAUGCUUUUGAAUAAGCUUCAUUUCAGCCAUAGAGGGUGCAAGCCCCUUGGUGUUGUGGAGACAAAGCAUGGACUUGUCAUGAUAGAGUCGGGUUGCUUGAAAGUGCAACCUAAAGUAGAUGGUAAGCUCCAUCUAAGGCUAAAUAUCGCUGUGAGACCGAUAGCAAACAAGUACCGUGAGGGAAAGUUGCAAAGAACUUUGAAGAGAGAGUUCAAUAGGACGUGAAACCGUUUGCAGGUAAACAGAUGGACCCACGAAGUCCAGUUGAGCAGGGAAUUCAAAUUUCUCGAUUGGUUGUCUACUGAUCGGUCUUCCUCUUUGCAGGGAGUCGUUUGGUGUGAGAGCCGUCGAGAGAUGCAUUUUUCCUGCUCACGAUGGAGCUCUGACUGCUCAUUGACUUUCAUUGCGUGAGGGCAGCCUCAGAUUGUGAGAUGUUUCUUAGGAUUCGUUUCUACUCUUUGAGGUUCACAUGAUGAAGUCAUAACGAGCAGGUGAAGUACUCACUUCGGUGAGUGUUCAGGUUGUCGAUAUCAUUGCUCUGGUAGAGUGUGCUGGUCUCUAAACUUUCGACUCUUGCAGUUGAAGUUUAGGGAAGCUGUGCA
rnacentral:rRNA from 1 species